rnacentral:rRNA from 1 species
CGCGUGUACUGGUCCGGCCGGGCCUUUCCCUCUGUGGAACCCCAUGCCCUUCACUGGGUGUGGCGGGGAAACAGGACUUUUACUGUGAAAAAAUUAGAGUGCUCCAGGCAGGCCUAUGCUCGAAUACAUUAGCAUGGAAUAAUAGAAUAGGACGUGUGGUUCUAUUUUGUUGGUUUCUAGGACCGCCGUAAUGAUUAAUAGGGACAGUCGGGGGCAUCAGUAUUCAAUUGUCAGAGGUGAAAUUCUUGGAUUUAUUGAAGACUAACUACUGCGAAAGCAUUUGCCAAGGAUGUUUUCAUUAAUCAGGAACGAAAGUUAGGGGAUCGAAGACGAUCAGAUACCGUCGUAGUCUUAACCAUAAACUAUGCCGACUAGGGAUCGGACGGUGUUAUAUUUUGACCCGUUCGGCACCUUACGAGAAAUCAAAGUGCUUGGGCUCCAGGGGGAGUAUGGUCGCAAGGCUGAAACUUAAAGAAAUUGACGGAAGGGCACCACCAGGGGCGGAGCCUGCGGCUUAAUUUGACUCAACACGGGGAAACUCACCAGGUCCAGACACAAUGAGGAUUGACAGAUUGAGAGCUCUUUCUUGAUUUUGUGGGUGGUGGUGCAUGGCCGUUCUUAGUUGGUGGAGUGAUUUGUCUGCUUAAUUGCGAUAACGAACGAGACCUUAACCUGCUAAAUAGCCCGUAUUGCUUUGGCAGUACGCUGGCUUCUUAGAGGGACUAUCGG